AAGGAGCAUAUGUUGCCUGCUUCU
rnacentral:siRNA from 1 species